CUAAUGUUGAAAAAUUAGCGGAUGACCUGUGGCUGGGGGUGAAAGGCCAAUCAAACCGGGAGAUAGCUGGUUCUCCCCGAAAGCUAUUUAGGUAGCGCCUCGUGAAUUCAUCUCCGGGGGUAGAGCACUGUUUCGGCUAGGGGGCCAUCCCGGCUUACCAACCCGAUGCAAACUGCGAAUACCGGAGAAUGUUAUCACGGGAGACACACGGCGGGUGCUAACGUCCGUCGUGAAGAGGGAAACAACCCAGACCGCCAGCUAAGGUCCCAAAGUCAUGGUUAAGUGGGAAACGAUGUGGGAAGGCCCAGACAGCCAGGAUGUUGGCUUAGAAGCAGCCAUCAUUUAAAGAAAGCGUAAUAGCUCACUGGUCGAGUCGGCCUGCGCGGAAGAUGUAACGGGGCUAAACCAUGCACCGAAGCUGCGGCAGCGACACUCAGGUGUUGUUGGGUAGGGGAGCGUUCUGUAAGCCUGUGAAGGUGGCCUGUGAGGGUUGCUGGAGGUAUCAGAAGUGCGAAUGCUGACAUAAGUAACGAUAAAGCGGGUGAAAAGCCCGCUCGCCGGAAGACCAAGGGUUCCUGUCCAACGUUAAUCGGGGCAGGGUGAGUCGACCCCUAAGGCGAGGCCGAAAGGCGUAGUCGAUGGGAAACGGGUUAAUAUUCCCGUACUUGGUGUUACUGCGAAGGGGGGACGGAGAAGGCUAUGUUGGCCGGGCGACGGUUGUCCCGGUUUAAGCGUGUAGGUGUGUGUUCCAGGUAAAUCCGGUUCACUUUAACACUGAGGCGUGAUGACGAGGCGCUACGGUGCUGAAGCAACAAAUGCCCUGCUUCCAGGAAAAGCCUCUAAGCAUCAGGUAACAUCAAAUCGUACCCCAAACCGACACAGGUGGUCAGGUAGAGAAUACCAAGGCGCUUGAGAGAACUCGGGUGAAGGAACUAGGCAAAAUGGUGCCGUAACU
rnacentral:rRNA from 1 species